rnacentral:lncRNA from 1 species
UUUUGUUGUUUUCUAAGCCUUUGCUUUGGGAUAUGAUGGGAAAAUCUUACAGGUACACAUGGCAGAGUAAGACAUGAUCAUAGUUGAAAGUGAAGACAAUCUAAUCAGAAAGCUUUAAUAUUUGUCAGCUAACGUUGAGGCUCAAGUCAUGAGUGGUACAUGCAGGAAGGCUGAAAGGGAUCGUAAUUAGUAUUCCUCUCCUUGUUUAUCCUCUCCUACUGAAGAAUCCACACCAACCUCCUCAUAACCCUUCUCAAAAGCAACCAUGUCCUCACAGGCCUCAGAAAAUUCCCCUUCCUCCGUGCCAUCACCCACCUACUAGCGAACAAAGGGACACUUGGCGUUCACCAGGUCAUACUUGUGGUCCAGGCGAGCCCAGGCCUCAGCAAUGGCUGUGGUGUUGCUCAGCAUACACACAGCUCACUGUACUUGGGCCACAUCUCCACCAGGUACCACAGUGGGGAGGCAGGUAAUUAGCACCAACUUUGAAGCCAGUGGAGCAGCAGUCCACAGACUUGAUGCUGCACAGGUCUUGAUGGGGGCAUGGCAGCACUGCACCUUUAGGAACAUGAUGCCACAGCAUGACAGGCAGCAACCCAUGUAUUUACCAUGGUGGAGGUCACAUUUCACCCCCUGGUUGGCUGGCUCAAAGCAUGCAUUGGUGACCUGUUCUAUAGAAAGCUGUUCAUGGUAGGCUUUAUCAGCAGAGAUUACAGGGCAUAUGCAGCCAGAGCAAAGUGGAUGCAGGGUUAGGGCACCAGGUUGGUCUGAAAUUUUGUCAGAUCAACAUUCAGGGCUUCAUCAAAUCAGGGAGAAGCAGUGAUUUAGGAAUUCAAUAGCAAGGUUUCUAGAACAGACACCACAGAUGGACUCAUUGCCAUGAAGGCAAAAUCAGACUGCUCCAUGGUGGGAUGGGUAGUGAAGAUGGAGUUGUAGAGCACAACUACAUCUGUGGACAUCUGGGGGGCUGGGUAAAUGGAGAACUCCAGCUUGGACUUCUUCCCAUAUCAACAGAGAGAGGGAGGUGGACCCAGAACCA